rnacentral:rRNA from 1 species
GAUGAACGCUGGCGGCGUGCCUAAUACAUGCAAGUCGAACGAAGCCUUCGGGCUUAGUGGCGGACGGGUGAGUAACACGUUGGUACCUGCCUCGAAGUGGGGAAUAACUGGCCGAAAGGUCGGCUAAUACCGCAUGUGAUCGCAAGAUCAAAGUCGUAAGACGCUUCGAGAGGGGCCUGCGUCCCAUUAGCUAGUUGGUAGGGUAAUGGCCUACCAAGGCGACGAUGGGUAGCUGGAUCGAGAGGUUGACCAGCCACACUGGGACUGAGACACGGCCCAGACUCCUACGGGAGGCAGCAGUGGGGAAUAUUGGACAAUGGGCGCAAGCCUGAUCCAGCCAUGCCGCGUGGGUGAAGAAGGCCCUAGGGUUGUAAACCCCUUUCAGCGGGGAAGAUAAUGACGGUACCCGCAGAAGAAGCCCCGGCUAACUCCGUGCCAGCCGCCGCCGUAA